AUUGAGUAUAUCCAUUAUCUAUAUUUAUUCAAUCAAUCAAUCAAAGAAACAAAUCAAAAUUUUCCAAGAACCUAAAACCUAGAAAAAUUAUAGAUUUAGAAUAAUUGUACCUGUCUGUCGCAUAGAGAAAGCUUUUGUGGUGGUGGCGCGACUGGCUUUUCCGGUGAUUUUGAUUUGAAAACUCAGCCGAGCAGAGAGAGAGAAAGGUUGCGGUCGGUGGUGAGAGGCAAGCAGUGUGGUGCCAAUGGUGGUGGUCGAAGCUUUUCCGGUGUCGGCCGGUACUCUCUCUUCCUCGCCGAAAC
rnacentral:lncRNA from 1 species